AUUGAACGCUGGCGGCAUGCCUUACACAUGCAAGUCGAACGGCAGCAUAGGAGCUUGCUCCUGAUGGCGAGUGGCGAACGGGUGAGUAAUAUAUCGGAACGUGCCCUAGAGUGGGGGAUAACUAGUCGAAAGACUAGCUAAUACCGCAUACGAUCUACGGAUGAAAGUGGGGGAUCGCAAGACCCCAUGCUCCUGGAGCGGCCGAUAUCUGAUUAGCUAGUUGGUGGGGUAAAAGCCUACCAAGGCGACGAUCAGUAGCUGGUCUGAGAGGACGACCAGCCACACUGGGACUGAGACACGGCCCAGACUCCUACGGGAGGCAGCAGUGGGGAAUUUUGGACAAUGGGGGCAACCCUGAUCCAGCAAUGCCGCGUGAGUGAAGAAGGCCUUCGGGUUGUAAAGCUCUUUUGUCAGGGAAGAAACGGUAGUAGCUAAUAUCUAUUACUAAUGACGGUACCUGAAGAAUAAGCACCGGCUAACUACGUGCCAGCAGCCGCGGUAAAAC
rnacentral:rRNA from 1 species